rnacentral:rRNA from 1 species
UGUUUCCUACGGGGCGCAGCAGUGAGGAAUAUUGGUCAAUGGACGAGAGUCUGAAUCAGCCACGUAGCGUGAAGGAUGACUGCCCUAUGGGUUGUAAACUUCUUUUAUAUGGGAAUAAAAUGUUCCACGUGUGGGAUUUUGUAUGUACCAUAUGAAUAAGGAUCGGCUAACUCCGUGCCAGCAGCCGCGGUAAUACGGAGGAUCCGAGCGUUAUCCGGAUUUAUUGGGUUUAAAGGGAGCGUAGGUGGAUUGUUAAGUCAGUUGUGAAAGUUUGCGGCUCGACUGUAAAAUUGCAGUUGAAACUG